CCCUAAGAGGUACCAAUCUCCUGUCAUACAACAAAAGCUCCCGCUGUGGACCUUUUGAGGCUGAACACCUGAAGAGUACCAAAACUACGUUUUUAACACAUAAAGGAUGCGACGAGCACCCUCGUCCUUUUUAUCAAGUGAGAAUCCCUCCGCCCCGGGGUCUGAAGUUGUUUGUUGCAACUGUCCCGAGAUUCAAACUGAACGACAUGUCAGUGUGCGAGGAAAAAUAAAUCAGAACCUAGAGAUAAACAGACACCUCCAGUUACCAUGUGUACAAUGUAAUAAGCUAACUAACCCAAUACGCUACGCUAACUAAACCAAUAUGUCACAAAGUCACAUCUGUUUAUGUGAAGUUCUCACUUCCGAGUUUCAAUUUCUUUUAUACAGCCCCAGGUAAAGAACUGCCUUUUCUAGAUAUAAUUAUUUGUACAUUGGCCACAUUCCUGCUAGACCAAAACUGCCUGAUUUCUAUACCUUAUCCCAGACUCAACGAAAACCAUACCCUUCACAGCGGCACAUACGCAUAUAGCUUAUAUUUGGGAGUACGUAUCUCCCCGGGGACAUGAAACAACUAAGUAGCUCGAUGUUUUCUAGUCUGAGGACCCAGAUAGAUUUCCGGCUUUGUCAGAUCACGCCGCCAGCGUGAAAAAAAAAAUCAGAAAAUCCGUCUGUGUUCGCACGUACGUUCGCAGGCUAGAUGUAUUCGGGCAUGAUGGCUGACCUCACAUCUAUGUUAUGGCGUUAAUUAACAUUCCUAGCUAACCUUUAUCCGACUAUACUGAAGCCUUCGUUAGGUCUAUGAUGACUGUGUAUCGGAAGAAGAAACUCUUGUAUUAUUUUGUAAAUCUUGUAAAUGUGGCAGUAAAACUGUUUACUUUGGUCUUAAAAUUUGACACCUCAAUAAAAAGCUAAUCAUGAUCCCCAAUAUAAUGGCCUUCACCAUUAGCUUGCAAAUUGCUGACUAUAAAUCUCAACUCUAACUGUUAAUGAUCAUCAUGGUCAUAUUUUUCUUUAUCAGUAUUGCUACGAAUCUAAUCUGUAGCCCACUUUAACGAUCAAGUAUAUUUUAUUAUAUCAAGGAUCAUCAAGAUGUCCAGGCCUUUUUUGUACUUCUCUCUUUUGACUCGUACACACGUCCGAUGUCUCGCUUCACUUUCUUACAGAACACUGGCACGGGUCCAUAUCAGUUUGAAUCGUUUUACGGACAUCGUUCAAGCUUUUCAGAAUGACUCAGAAACUCAGGAAAGGGGUCUUUAGGGAGUUAAACUCCAAAACAUUUCCUGGGUAGCAUCCCCCUGGACACCUCUAGAGAGUCUGAGAAGCUUGCGCCUUCGGCAUUUGAUCCAACAGGGUGAGUCAUCUAAUCUGCCGGGUCCAUGUUAUUUUCAGUUAAAAGCCAUGUAGCCAACCACAGAUACUCGAUGAGGUACUGUGUUAUAAAAACCUAUCGCUAAAAUCUGUCUCAUUUGUAAACGUGAUACAUACCUCUUUCAUGACUGUUCGUUGGAAGCAGAGAUGUUCGAUUGCCUCUAAAAGUAAUUGCCUGCUGUUUUCGCUAUCAAACGAUAAUUCGCUGUUUUCCGGCUCGGUAAUUUGAUGUGUUCUUUUCAAUUUCGGUCUUUAUAAUUAUAAUCAAUAAGUCUCAAAGGCAACCUUGAGUUCUCAUGUGCACAAAAUAAUGUGAAAACGCCGUCACCCAUCCACUAGGCAAACAGUGGGAAGGUAAUAAUAAUUAUCUCAGCUGUCAUAACAGAAUUUUCGGUAGAUCUCUUAGAUCAGAGCGUUGAAAGACGGCCCGGGAGAACAAAGCAUAUGAAUUGUAAAAGAUAACAAACGCAGCAAUCAUUUCGAAAUAAUCAUUAUUGGUCAUUUUUGCCCUAAUACCGCACUAACUACGUAUAAACAGCACCGGUAUGUGGCGCCCUCAGGUUUUUUGAUUUUACUGAUUUGUACACAGCCCCUUUUUAUCUGGUUGGGUAAAUGAAGACGAUCCAGCCUAGGGAAUAUAGUUUUGCAGCGUAAUAAAUAGCAACUUUGAACUUACCGAGUUUCAACUCAGUUGGUUACACUGCAUGAAUGGCAGUUCCUCGUCAGCACUACUCGACAGGAUGGAAUGCACCGAUCAUUCCCUUACGAACGCAGAAAUGCUAAAAAGUUACAAAAUUACAGCGGUAAGCCAAACUUCACUGUGACAAAGGUGGAAACGACAAACGAUAAUCGACAUGUAUCUUCAGCGAAAAAGACAUGUCCAUGGAAACGGAAUUUUGGCGGGAGCGCGCCCUGCUCUUCCUUCCCAUCAUCCCCCACGGUGCAACUUGUCCUUCGUCAAGCCAAGUCACGUUGUGGUGUUUGCGGGAGAGAGAAGCUUUUUUUCUGUUGCGUACAGAGGUGAAACGUUUGAGCAGCUUGCAGCCUACGGGAAAGAAAAUUGCAUUUUACUUUGUACCAGAAAUGCAGUUAAGAAGAGGCACAACUCGAGAUUUAGAGGACAGUACAAGCUAUCAAUCUCUAUCAGUGUAUCAGUUAGUCAGUGAAUUACCCAAAAGUGUUCUGUGAAAAUCAAUGAAGCUGUUGGA